AGUCGAGCGAUGAACACCUUCGGGUGUGAAUUAGCGGCGAACGGGUGAGGAACACGUGAGAAAUCUGCCUUCACACUGGGAUAACUCCGGGAAACCGGGGCUAAUACCGGAUAUGAAAUCUGCGGGCAUCCGCGGAUUUGGAAAGUUUUUCGGUUGAAGAUGAUCUCGCGGCCUAUCAGCUUGUUGGUGAGGUAAUGGCUCACCAAGGCGACGACGGGUAGCCGGCCUGAGAGGGCGACCGGCCACACUGGGACUGAGACACGGCCCAGACUCCUACGGGAGGCAGCAGUGGGGAAUAUUGGGCAAUGGAGGAAACUCUGACCCAGCGACGCCGCGUGCGGGAUGAAGGCCUUCGGGUUGUAAACCGCUUUCAGCAGGGAAGAAGCGAAAGUGACGGUACCUGCAGAAGAAGCACCGGCUAACUAUGUGCCAGCAGCCGCGGUAAUACAUAGGGUGCAAGCGUUGUCCGGAAUUAUUGGGCGUAAAGAGCUCGUAGGUGGUUCGUCACGUCGGAUGUGAAAAUCUGGGGCUUAACCCCAGACCUGCAUUCGAUACGGGCGAGCUUGAGUAUGGUAGGGGAGUCUGGAAUUCCUGGUGUAGCGGUGGAAUGCGCAGAUAUCAGGAGGAACACCAAUGGCGAAGGCAGGACUCUGGGCCAUUACUGACACUGAGGAGCGAAAGCGUGGGGAGCGAACAGGAUUAGAUACCCUGGUAGUCCACGCCGUANACGGUGGGCACUAGUUGUGGGGACCUUCCACGGUCUCUGCGACGCAGCUAACGCAUUAAGUGCCCCGCCUGGGGAGUACGAUCGCAAGAUUAAAACUCAAAGGAAUUGACGGGGCCCCGCACAAGCAGCGGAGCAUGCGGCUUAAUUCGACGCAACGCGAAGAACCUUAC
rnacentral:rRNA from 1 species